AGUAGUAAUAAGAGCAGAUUUAAUGGCUGAGGGAGACCAAUGAGGGUGAAAAGUCUUAACGUAUGCAGCUACACCAGCAACAUGAGGACAAGACAUUGAAGUUCCUGAUAUUAUGUUGUAUUUAACUCGCCUUGUAUCUAUUGUAGUCGUCGAUGGUGAAGCAACUGGUGAAUAUGCAGCCAAUAUAUCCACUCCUGGUGCACUUAUAUCUGGCUGCAACACAUUUAUGGAACCAUUUAGUAUACAAAACACAGGCAAAACAACGAUAAAAUCUGGGUUAUCGGACCAAUGCAUGCCUUUAGAAUGUCUGGUACAAUGGAAUUCGGACCCCUUGAAGAGAAUGAAGCAACUAUAGGAGCAAAUUUAUCUUUAGUUGUUUCACUUCUUAAUAUUUCUGCUUUAGGUUCUCUGUGACAUAAUGAGCAAAGCGUUAGUUUUAUUUUGCCUAACAUAAACAAAACCGAUGAAAUAAUGACCCGAACCAUCGAUAUGUACAUACUUGGUGGAAUUGAGGUAGGAUAUGACCGAAUCAUAGUCCUCAGAGCUUAAAGUUAUAGCAGACAAUGGGACAACAAAUGAAACAUCGUCCAAUUCAUAUUUCGUAUUAAUCCUAAUGCACCAGCAUCGUAAGCUGCAUCUACACCGUCCAUCUCAUAGCAUAAGAGGAUCUUGUUCUUAAACAAUGUAUCAAACAUAUUGCUUAUGUCUAAAUCUCUGUAAAUCAAUGAAAAUGCAGGCUUGUCAUGGAACUAACCUAGCACUGGCCUCAUCGCAAUAGGAUGUUGCUUGCAGCCCAUAAACCAAUGGAACCUUUGUUGUAUUAGACUAAAUGAGUUAAUGGAUAAUCCCUGCUUGCAAAGAGGAAACCAUUAGUAUCAAGUUAAAAGAAAAAAACUACGAGUAUCGGAGCAACAUAAGUAGAAAAUACGAUAGUUCUUACAGUUAGUGUCUUCCCAUUCCCAAGAAUAACCUUCCACAAAAAGGUGAUCAGUUGUGCUUGCAGCAAACGUAAGUAUCCACGGUGCUGUACUCUCCAAUGCUUGCAACCCUGCUGUACCACUAUUGUCUGCUGAUUGCAUAACUAGUACUCCUUUCUCAGCUGCAUGGAAUGCACCAAUGGCUAUAGCAUCAUCGUAAAACUCAGAGUUGAUCUUAUAACAGUUUCAUGGCAGCUUUUGAUGAUGCCAUUGCUGAUGGAACCCCUCUCUUGCAGUUCCUUCAGCAAAUCCAUAGAAACUAGCAUUCACUACGUUGUUCCCAGCUGCUGUGGAUGCUGUAUGUGACCCAUGACCCUCUGUAUCAUUGGCAGAAUCUGCGGUGUAAACUCGAGCUCUGAUAAGCUUACUGAAAGAUAAGCACCAAAUCAUUAUGAGGAUCAGGGAUAUGAAUAGUGGUCUGAGAUUGGAAAUAGUGGAAUAUGUUUACUUGUUACAAGUGAAGUUUUGGCCAACCUUACAAGCUCCCUUCCACUUUUGGGGUGGUGGACCAAAGCCUUCGUCGCUGAAGCUGUCCGACUCGGGACAGAUUCCGGUAUCAAUGACACCAACAAUGACAUUGCUCUCGGCGGCAGCGUUACGGUUUACAGUUUGAUUGUGUCCCAAGAAAUCCCAUGAUCUUGUUGUAUGAAGGUGAAAAACUUUACUUGGAAAAACCGAAACCACUCCUUUAAAGCCUGCAUAUAACGGCAUUGGUGAAAACAUAUCAUUAAGGCAAUGCCAUUGUGUUAAAAAGAAAAGACAGCUCUUCUUCUACCACUUACUUGAAAGUUUCUUUGCCUCUUCAUUAGUUAGCUUAGCUGCAAAUCCAUUGAAGCUCCUUUUGUAACUUCGGAUUAAGUAAUUUUCCACAGAGCUGCAGAGAAGAAAAAAUAAGGAUCGAUCAUCAUACUGAUGGACCAACACUUUGGCUUAGGCAUCAAAGGACAUCCUCUAAAAAAAUGGCUUCCUACCUGUGUUUAGAAAGUGCUUGAAGCAUAUUGGAAUGGUGAGAUGAAGCAAUGUAGUCUCCAUCAGGAAGUGGUCCCAAGUAUGCAAUGUAAACCUGCAUCAUAUAUGAUGAUGGUCAUCAUCGCACAUUAUUAUAAUUCAUGAACCAGUUCCAUAUAAACAUUGUUAAAAAUAGUUUUCUAUCUUCAUGUAUAGCACCAGAGCGAAGGAUUACACAAACUGUGAUAAUAAUAAAAAUGUCAAGAAACACCAAGAAACUUGAUUUUGUCAUUUUUUUUCUAUUUGUUUGAUAGUAUGCAUAAAAUAGAAAUUAUAACUGGUAUUUAUAGUGAAUUGGAACAUAUCUGGCAAUUUUACUCAUACCAUAUAUGAUUGUGAUUUAUGACAAUUUCAAGAUAUAUUGUUCACUAUCUAAUAACACCAUUCUCUCUGCUGUAUUUGUUGUAUUUUUUUGCAGCUGAACUGAUUAUGUUUGUAACUUAAACGACAAAGGAAUCAAUUUAUAACUUCAUUUUUCUUCUGAUUUACUCCACUUAAAAAUAUGGGGUGUUGCAAAAAUCAUUUAUUGGGAAAGUUUGUUCAUAGAAAAAUGUAACUAAUAUUUUAUUAAUAGAUUGCAAGAAAUUGACUGAACAAAUAAAAACAGAAUGCAGACUCAAUCGUGUGACUCAAACAGCCCCACGGACACCUUCAUAUGUGUGAAUAACGAUCGAACUUCUAACAUUAUGAGUACCAUCUGACCAUAUCAAUGUUGCAGAUACCAUUGAUGUCUCACCCAAAGCUUUGCCAGAAACAAUAACAUUGUAAGACUUCUGUUCUGUUAGAGCCUUGAAAGACAAGACUUGAGGAACCACUUGGAUUUCGGGUUCUGACAGGAUAGAGAUUGUUGCAUUGUAAGUAGAUCUUGCUAUACCAACAUUUGUUACUGUUCUAUGGAAAUUAACAGUGAAUGGCUUGCCUGCUGGUACUAAAGCAGUGAGUGUAGGAUAAUUGAAAUCUCUUGGCAGCAUUUUAGUACUGUUUUUAGGACAAGAGGUGUUGUUUCCUGCUAUAUUUUUUAUGGAACCUUCAUCAUAUCCGAUGCUGCAUAAGAAUCUUAUGUUGUCACCUUUUACGUUAUCGUAUACAAGUCCAGGAUCAAUGGCUUUUACAGGGUUGAUAUGUCCUGAUCCAUAAGCAAAUUCAGCUCCUUGAUUCCUCGGUGCAUCCAUCGGAAAAGCUAGGCAAAAGAAAACAAAUGUAAGAUCGAAAAUGUGACAUAUGUUACAAUAAUGGCAAUGAAUGAUUACCGGUAGUCAUAAGAGCAGAUUUAAUGGCUGAGGGAGACCAAUGAGGGUGAAAAGUCUUAACGUAUGCGGCUACACCAGCAACAUGAGGACAAGACAUUGAGGUUCCUGAUAUUAUGUUGUAUUUAACUCGCCUUGUAUCUGUUGUGGUUAUCGAUGGUGAAGCUACCGGUGAAUAUGCAGCCAAUAUAUCCACUCCUGGUGCACUUAUAUCGGGCU
rnacentral:lncRNA from 1 species